AGUGAACGCUGGCGGUAGGCCUAACACAUGCAAGUCGAACGGCAGCACAGUAAGAGCUUGCUCUUACGGGUGGCGAGUGGCGGACGGGUGAGGAAUACAUCGGAAUCUACUUUUUCGUGGGGGAUAACGUAGGGAAACUUACGCUAAUACCGCAUACGACCUACGGGUGAAAGCAGGGGAUCUUCGGACCUUGCGCGAUUGAAUGAGCCGAUGUCGGAUUAGCUAGUUGGCGGGGUAAGGGCCCACCAAGGCGACGAUCCGUAGCUGGUCUGAGAGGAUGAUCAGCCACACUGGAACUGAGACACGGUCCAGACUCCUACGGGAGGCAGCAGUGGGGAAUAUUGGACAAUGGGCGCAAGCCUGAUCCAGCCAUACCGCGUGGGUGAAGAAGGCCUUCGGGUUGUAAAGCCCUUUUGUUGGGAAAGAAAAGCAGCAGGUUAAUACCCCGCUGUUCUGACGGUACCCAAAGAAUAAACACCGGCUAACUUCGU
rnacentral:rRNA from 1 species